AGCAGCCGCGGUAAUUCCAGCUCCAAUAGCGUAUAUUAAAGUUGUUGCAGUUAAAAAGCUCGUAGUUGAAUUUCGGGGUUAGUACGCUGGUCGUGCCUUCGGUAUGUACUGGUGUUACUGAUUCCUACCUUCUGACGAACCGUCAUGUCAUUCAUUUGGUGUGGCGGGGAAUCAGGACUGUUACUUUGAAAAAAUUAGAGUGUUUAAAGCAGGCUCGCGCUUGAAUACAUUAGCAUGGAAUAAUGAAAUAGGACGUUCGAUCCUAUUUUGUUGGUUUCUAGGAUUGACGUAAUGAUUAAUAGGGAUAGUUGGGGGCAUUAGUAUUCAAUUGUCAGAGGUGAAAUUCUUGGAUUUAUCGAAGACUAACUACUGCGAAAGCAUUUGCCAAGGAUGUUUUCAUUAAUCAAGAACGAAAGUUAGGGGAUCGAAGACGAUCAGAUACCGUCGUAG
rnacentral:rRNA from 1 species